AAAAAACCGGCCAAGUGCAAGUCGGACUCGCGCACCGAGGGUUCCUACAAACCUGUAGGUAUAUAAGUAAAAGUUAACCCAUCACGACAAUCGAGUGUUUAAAAUUAUUAAAAAUAUUUUUAUUAUAUGAUGUAACUAAAAAUUUACGGUUUUCGCAAUUUUUCCUUUAUCUGUGCUAUAAGACGUUGCUUCGUACCAAAUUUCAAGAUUCUGAGUUCACGGGAAGUACCUUGUAGGUUUUGAUUCCCUUGCGAGUGUCGAAAAUUUGCGGAAAUUUACGGCAUAAACGGUUGUAUCUUUUGAAUCAAAACUCCAAGGGACAGUAGACCUGAGUAUUUGAUAUAAAUUCCAGCUUGAUACCUCCACGCGUUCCUGAAAAAAGGGUCUUGACAGACAGACAGACGGACGGACGGACGGACAACAAAGUGAUCCUAUAAGGGUUCCGUUUUUUUCCUUUUGAGGUACGGAACCCUAAAAAAUC